CAGUGAAGGUCAGUGUGGGGAACAGCCCUGGUUUUCAGCCCUGUGAUGUGAGUGACAGAACAAGACUCAUUGUCCCUGCCUCUCCAGAACGUGAGCAGUUUUUACACUGUGAAAUUGGAUGUAACUUCUGUUCUUCUCUUGUGCAUUUGGAGACAUCUUGGUAUGUGCUAGUAUAUCUGCAUCAAGCAAGAAAAAUGGGAGCACUGGGGAUAUUUUCGGCCUUCAUGUUUGAAUAAGAAGUCAGAUGAAUUGCCAGGCAUAUGUAUGUGGAUUAUGGAUACAGAAGAAAAUUCCCAUUGUAUAAAGAAGAAUAUAUGCUGAGCACUGAAGCAGAGAAAAUGAGAGGUGUUUCUACCAAAUGAAAUAAAUAAAGUAACCAUACACCUCUAAGAAACUUGUAGGUGUUUGAGACCUUGUGAUAAAGCUACCACAUUAAGGCAGAAUCAUUGAAUCCUUAGAGUUGGAAGGGAUCUCUGAAGGCCAUAUAGUCCAAUUCCCCUGCAAUGACCAGGGAUACCACAGCCACAUCAGAUUGCCCAGGGCCUGAUCCAGCCUCGCCUGGAAAGUCUCCAGGGAUUGGGUAUCAACGACAACACUAGAUGCUAUAAAACGUCAGUGUUACAGAAACAAAAGUUUGAAAUCUGUAACAUCCCACACAUGAAAGGAGGAAAAGUGACAAGAUUUGCAAAUCCCCCAUGAGGUUAAGGUGAAAUGACACUCAAGUGCCAGUCUGAGAAACAUUUCAUCCACUUCUGACUUAGUGUCAUCUCAAACCAGCGUUGGCUUCUGUGACCAGGUGGAGCAGUUAAGCAAAGAUCUGUAUCUCCUUGGGAACUGGAAGAAGUGUACAGUAGUAAUCACAUUUUCCUUUGCACAUUGUUUUGUUGCUUUUUUGUUUGUUUUUGGUGCAAAUUCAACAGAUUUUACAAAUGCUAAUAUCUUAACACAAUCACUCUAAACUUCACGAGUGCUGCAGUCACCUUCUUUUUAACUCUGCUACCAAUUACAUUGAUAGGGACGUUUCCUAUUUGCAAAAUCAGAAGCAAAUGCCAUCAAAUUGCUCUGUGAAUGCAUAUUGACCUCCCUUUUUAAGACUGAUAAUGAGAGGAUAUGUUUUUAUCAUCAGAUUACAGAGCAAAUAAUAAAAAUGCCGAAGAAAUUAUAAGAAAAAAAACACUCAUAUUCAUAAAUACAUCUAUGUAUGAUAUUAUAAUUUUUCUUACUCUGUUUUUCUAAUAGUAAUUCAAUACUAGAAACAAAGAAAUAUAGUUGUGAGAGUGUGAUGAAAGACUUUCUCAUUUUUCUCAUUUUUCUAAGAGACUGUGGUUAAUAUAUUCAGGUUUGGCUUUCCUAAGACCUGGUAGGCUUCAAGCACUUUGUUCCCUGAAUUUCAUUAUUCUGUUUCUGGCUUAAAUAUAGAGGAUGACAAACAAGGAGUUCUAGGCAUGCAUAUAGGCAAUCAGAGGGAAAUCCAUACUUUUUAAUCAUUGCAGAAUGGAUUUGUAUGAGUAAUUACUCUAUUAACUAUUAACACUGUGGAUGAUAUAUUCAGAGCUAAACAAUUAGUAGAAGUUUGUUUGAAAAUAUUGUGUAAACCAUUAUGCAAAAUAACUGGAUUUUUCCUUUGUAAAUAACUUGAAAUUUACAUUUUGGUCACCGUCUUUUGUGAAUAAUUACUUGAAAGACAAUUCAGAUUUGUAGAGCUAUUGUAAAUUUGUUUGUUUGUUUGUUUUGUUCUGUUCUGUUUUGUUUUUUUUAAAUUGUAUUUACUUUUUUCACAUUGUGUAUGGCAGAAUGAGGAAAGACAGAGUCAUGAGCUGGAUAAGAAAGCUUCAUCUGACAAUCAGAAAAUAGCCAACAGAUGGAGAUAACUAAAGGGUGAUUUCACUUUUGUGGAUCAUUUGAUUUAAUGAAAGAACACAAGGAGGAUUACUCUGAUGACAUCUUGAUAUAGUGUGUUAAAGAGGCAAGGGAUGGACAUCAACAUGACCAUCCCCAAAUAAAUGAGUGGAUCAUUACAAAUUCCCAGCACUUCUGUACACCUUCACUUGGAAAGAACAGAAGGAUUGAGAGAGAACUCACAAACUCUGCAGAGAGCAUGAACACUCAGUGGUGUUGUUUUGUACAGCAGAAGGGCUUGAAACUGCCAGCAGCUGCACACAUGCAUGGUUACAAAAUACACCGAUACCUGUUCAUCACUAAUAGGAAGUGAGCAUAUAUAUAUUUGGAAAAGGUAGAGUUUGGUUUGAUCAAUUGUCAAAGCAUCAUGACCAGAAAGAGCCAAACCACUUUUGCUUGAAAGCUAGUAGUAUUUAUGGUAAAAGUAUUUCUCUUUUUCCCUUUGCCAAAUAUGUUGGAUUCAGGCUUAUUUAAGGAGGCUCCAAUUUGCUACCUUAAUGUGACUGAGACUAUCAGUUUAAAAAAUUGAAAAAUAUUAAUGUUGGAUUCAAUGACUAAAGGAAAUUAUAUUUUUACAUUUAUGUACUAAAUAAACAUUGUUUAUAUAAUACAUCUCUUAUUAAAAAACACUGAGGAGCACAUUCAUUAAAGAAGUAUCCACUGCUUAUUAUUCACAUGGAAUCAGUUUUAACUGAUUUUAUCA
ensembl:lncRNA